CUGUUCUUCUUGAUACAGCUCACAGUGUGUCUUGAUCUCCUCUGGGCCUUCCACAAGAUCUGUAAUGUUAAGCUCUGGGGAGUUGUUUAUCACUUGAGAGAGAUAAUAUAUCACUGCAUGGCUAUGGGAAUCAUGUUGUUGUCUUCUCCUGUGCUGGAGCACCUGGCAUAUAUUUGGAUUUUUUUUUAGGUGAACGUUAUUUUUUAAUGAAACCCUGAAGUGUCAAGCUGUGUCAGACAUGUUCAGAAUUCCUGAGUUCUUCUUUUUGAAGCUGACCUUGGAGAAAAUCAAUGCAAGGAGUAUUUUUCUCAUCCGAUAUCUUCGUGGCUCUCUCUAAAACGAUUAGCUGGAGGCUAUUUGCUCGGGCCCCAGCCCUUGGGCUUGCUGGGACAAUCGCUCAGAGGUUCAGAUUUAGAAACCAAUGAAUGUCAAGCUGCGCCUCUGAACUCGGCUUCCUUUCAGAUGAGCCGGGGUGACCCGCAGCCAGCUGUAAAGAGGAGUGCAGUGACCACCCCCCUGCCUUUUGGAAAGGAGAAUAUUUCCCAAAGCACUGGCAGUGCUCCUGACUUCCUCCUCUGCGGGCUCUGGAUGCGAUUUGCGUGCUCCAAGUUUAUUCCUGAGGAGAUGUCCGUCCAGCCUGGUGUGCAGGCAUGGGGAAGUGCUGAAGUGUUGGGGGGGGGUGGGGAAUAUUGCUAAAAAAUCUGUUUUGCUAUUAAAAACACAGCUGGUAAAAACAGCCUCGCCUGGUCAUUUGCAGGGCUGGCUGCCUGACCAGAGCCCUCUGUUGCAGCCGGCCCCUGAUAAGACGCGGCCGCCCCUUGGGAAAGUUCCCUUCCGAGUCCCUGUGCCUGGGAAAGCUGCUCUCAAGCUGGGGGGGGAGGCGGCUUGAAUCGAUGCACGGAGUCAGCGGCCCCGCUGAGGGGGCUUUUUCUCUCUCCUCAAGAACAGACCGCUCACAAAGCCAGAUGGUUCCCGUCUGCUGGCUGUAUUCAAUGCACUUCCUCCCACAGACGGGAGCCCUUUUGCCCUCCUCCCACCCCCCCCUUUCAAGCAUCCACCACGGGGCCUUUCUGUUCUGCGGCUGGAAAUAAUCUUUUAUUGCCCAGUUGUUCGGAAGUGACCUUUUGCCCUUGAUUAGAUAGCACCAGGCUCUAUCGCCGGAUUGCUUUUGAGCUGGCAGUUGCUUUUUUGUGUUGGCUGAUCCGGUGUCAGGGAGAACAAUGCAGGGCUUUGCAAAAUUUCAGGCCGCAUGGGGGCUGGCUGGGGGCAGGGAGGCACGGCGUGCUAUAGAGCAGCUUUCUGGACCGUGAUUAAUUAUAGGAAAACAUUUCCGUUAAUAAACUGCAAAAACAAA